AUGAGUGGAGUACACCACAACAAGAUAAAAAUAAAACAAUGUUGUCUUCAAGGCACAAAUAAACAACCCCACCCUGGGACGAGAAAGAGUGAUCCCAAACCAAAAAAUAGCCUUAAACCACACAUCUCCGAUGAAAGUAAAAGAAACCAGGGUUACAAAGUGGCGUCACUCAAUAGUAUUCUGAUCAUAUAG